rnacentral:lncRNA from 1 species
ACCCAAGAUGAGUACGUAUACAGAUAGAUAUAUAUAUAAAUUUUUUUCUGACGAAAUAGAUAUGGAUAUCAAUCGAUCCGAUCCGUUGCUACCUCUAUGCACCGGGGCCAACGGUGUAUAUGGGACAUUGCCUCUAUAGCACGGAGGGGCGGAUGGAGUGUCCAUUAACACAUGGAUGGACGUAGGAACAGACCAUGCAUCAAUCUUGGGAAGUUGGAAGGGUCCAGAUUUUGUUUUUUUUUCAAAAGA